rnacentral:rRNA from 1 species
AUAAGACGAGAAGACCCUGUGGAACUUAAAAAUAACGACCACCCUUCCACCAACAACACCCACUGGACCCACCCACAUAAAACGCCUGGUCGACAUUUUUUGGUUGGGGCGACCUUGG